rnacentral:rRNA from 1 species
UACAGAGGGUGCGAGCGUUAAUCGGAAUUACUGGGCGUAAAGCGUGCGUAGACGGUUAUUUAAGUCGGAUGUGAAAGCCCCGGGCUCAACCUGGGAAUUGCAUUCGAGACUGAAUAGCUAGGGUACGGUAGAGGGAAGUGGAAUUUCCGGUGUAGCGGUGAAAUGCGUAGAUAUCUGGAGGAACACCGGUGGCGAAGGCGGCAUCCUGGACCGGUAUUGACGCUGAGGAGCGAAAGCCAGGGAGGCAAGCGGG